rnacentral:rRNA from 1 species
ACAUGCAAGUCGAACGAGAUGGCCCAGUGAAGGUUGCGUGCUUGCACAAGACUGAAUCUGGAUUCCCAUCUAGUGGCAGACGGGUGAGUAACACGUGGGUGACCUACCUUUUCGUUGGGGAUAACAGUUGGAAACGAUUGCUAAUACCGAAUAAAAUGUAAGAGUCAAUUUUACAUUGAAAGGAGCCUUUAAAGCUUCGCGAUUAGAUGGGCCUGCGGCGUAUUAACUAGUUGGUGGGGUAAUGGCCUACCAAGGUAACGAUGCGUAGCCGAACUGAGAGGUUGAUCGGCCACACUGGGACUGAGACACGGCCCAGACUCCUACGGGAGACAGCAGUUAGGAAUAUUCGUCAAUGGAGGAAACUCUGAACGAGCAAUGCCGCGUGAGUGAUGAAGGUCUCAUAGAUUGUAAAACUCUGUUGUAUGGAAAAAAUGACUAGGUUAGGAAAUGAACUUAGUGUGAUGGUACCAUACCAGAAAGCCCCGGCUAACUACGUGCCAGCAGCCGCGGUAAUACGUAGGGGGCGAGCGUUAUCCGGAUUUAUUGGGCGUAAAGCGUGUGUAGGCGGUUUAUUAAGUUUAAGAUUAAAGCCUGGGGCUCAACUCCAGUAUGUCUUAAAAACUGGUAGACUUGAGUACGGUAGAGGCAAACGGAAUUUCUAGUGUAGCGGUGAAAUGCGUAGAUAUUAGAAGGAACACCAGUGGCGAAAGCGG